rnacentral:rRNA from 1 species
AUUGAACGCUGGCGGCAGGCCUAACACAUGCAAGUCGAGCGGAUGAAGGGAGCUUGCUCCUGGAUUCAGCGGCGGACGGGUGAGUAAUGCCUAGGAAUCUGCCUGGUAGUGGGGGAUAACGUCCGGAAACGGGCGCUAAUACCGCCUACGUCCUGAUGGUGAAAGUGGGUGAUCUUCGGACCUCACGCUAUCAGAUGAUCCUAGGUCGGAUUAGAUAGUUGGUGGGGUAAAGGCCUACCAAGGCGACGAUCCGUAACUGGUCUGAGAGGAUGAUCAGUCACACUGGAACUGAGACACGGUCCAGACUCCUAAGGGAGGCAGCAGUGGGGAAUAUUGGACAAUGGGCGAAAGCAUGAUCCAGCCAUGCCGCGUGUGUGAAGAAGGUCUUCGGAUUGUAAAGCACGUUAAGGUGGGAGGAAGGGCAGUAAGUUAAUACCUUGCUGGUUUGACGGUACCAACAGAAGAAGCACCGGCUAACUACGUG